rnacentral:rRNA from 1 species
AAAGACUUGACGGUACUUCACAACAACCUAGAGGAGCCUGUCUAAUAACCGAUACUCCACGAUUAACCCAACCCACCCUAGCCUAACAGUCUAUAUACCGCCGUCGCCAGCUUACCUUGUAAAAGUAAUAAAGUAAGCAAAACAAGCUACCAUUAACACGACAGGUCGAGGUGUAACUAAUGAGUGGGCAAAAGAUGGGCUACAUUUUCUAACACAGAAAAUACGAAUAAACUAUGAAACUAGAAAUUGAAGGCGGAUUUAGCAGUAUGAUAAGAAUAAAAUACUUAACUGAAACUAACGCAAUGAAGUGCGCACACACCGCCCGUCAUCCCUG